rnacentral:rRNA from 1 species
AGCGAACGCUGGCGGCAUGCCUAACACAUGCAAGUCGCACGGGGGGGCUUCGGCCUCCCAGUGGCGGACGGGUGAGGAACGCGUAGGGACCUGUCGAGGGGUGGGGGAUAACCGCGGGAAACUGCGGCUAAUACCGCAUGACGCCGCGGCGUGACAGCCGGGGCCAAAGGCGAAAGCCGCCCGCCGAGGGGCCUGCGUCCGAUUAGCUGGUUGGCGGGGUAGCGGCCCACCAAGGCGUCGAUCGGUAGCUGGUCUGAGAGGGUGAUCAGCCACACCGGGACUGAGACACGGCCCGGACUCCUACGGGAGGCAGCAGUGGGGAAUAUUGGACAAUGGGCGCAAGCCUGAUCCAGCAAUGCCGCGUGGGUGAAGAAGGUCUUCGGAUUGUAAAGCCCUUUCGGCGGGGAUGAUGGUGACGGUACCCGCAGAAGAAGCCCCGGCUAACUUCGUG